GACGAACGCUGGCGGCGCGCUUAACACAUGCAAGUCGAGCGAAGCGGCGGACGGGUGAGUAACACGUGAGUAACCUGCCUUAGACAUUGGGAUAGCCUCGGGACACCGGGAUUAAUACCAAAUGGUCUAAGAUGGACUCGCGUCCCAUUAGCUAGUUGGUGAGGUAACGGCCCACCAAGGCGACGAUGGGUAGCCGGCAUGAGAGGGUGAAUGGUCACAUUGGAACUGAGAAACGCUCCAAACUCUACGGGAGGCAGCAGUCGGGAAUAGUGCACAAUGGCGGGAACUCUGAUGCAGCGAUUCCGCGUGAACGAAGAAGGCGUUCUAGUCGUAAAGUUCUUUUAUAUGGGACGCGGUACCAUAAGAAAAAGCCCCGGCUAACUACGUGCCAGCCGCCGCGGUAAUUC
rnacentral:rRNA from 1 species